GUUCUUAAGAUAAAAAAGGUGACUCCAUCCAAAGGCCAUGAAGUCUUACAGCUGUACUACUGCUACUUACAUCAGAAACAAGCACUACUUUGGAGUGUGGGAAAAGAUUUGGGCGGCAGAAGCUCUUAGAAUCAAAUCAAAUCCAUCUCUGAGGCUCCCUCUCUCCCAAAUGGCAAGAAAAUCCAAUCUCAGCCAUGAUGGAGAGGGGCAUGAGGGUGGAAUUCUCCUCCUCUUUCUCUUUCUCUAGGGCCAUAUAGCAAAUUGAUUUUAGUUUUAAAGGGAAGUUUCAGAUUUGGGUCUAGGCUAUCCAUUCAACUCACCGGAAAAGCAAUGGAGACAAGGACUCAAGGUUGUACUACUUGCCAGGAAUGAAGUCAGUGCACUUGGCUGCUGCAUUCCCUGAGGUGUGUCUCUUGGAAUUUGGUGUUGUCUUCAAGCUCCUGGAUCUGCCUCUCUCCAACAUCUGCCUGCUGUCCCGUAUAUACUAAAAUAUAGACAAAAUUAAACAUGCUUAAAGAAAUCUUCUGCAUUUCUAUGGCGGUGAUGCUGACGGAAGUCUUGAGGAGGCCCAGGAACUGCUGGGUUGUUCUUCCUAAGUAUUCGCAGAAGGAGUGAAGGUGACUACUGCAUUCAGAGGCAGUUAAUUUCCUAAGUGCAAGGCUUUAUUCAUUUUGAAGAGAACUUGGAUUGGCUGGUGUUCCAGAAACUGCAACAAAGAAACUCAGUCUCUGGUCACGACCAGGACCUAGUGACUGAAGACAGAAGAAUUUCACCUAUUCCUAAGUGUGGGCAAGACACUGGAAAAAGUGUGCAUCAAUCAUCAAGAGUCCAAAUGCAGCUUCAACAGCAUGUAACUGGCUGCAAACCAAAUAAGGACAUUUGAAGAAGGAAUGGAAGUCCUGAUGUUGUCUGAAAUGGAUCAAGGAAGCACCAACAUCAGCAUUUGCCAACAGAGCGUCAGUCCCUUGGAAUAAAAUUCCAUAGUCAGUAGCGGAGCACUCUUUCAAGUUCUAUUCAAGAUAUAUAUUAUCCUUCAA